rnacentral:rRNA from 1 species
UACGGAGGGUGCAAGCGUUAUCCGGAAUCACUGGGUUUAAAGGGUGCGUAGGCGGUGGUGUAAGUCAGUUGUGAAAUUCCCUCGCUUAACGAGUGGGACUGCGAUUGAUACUGCAUCACUUGAAUCAGGAUGAGGUAGGCGGAAUGUGGCAUGUAGCGGUGAAAUGCUUAGAUAUGCCAUAGAACACCGAUUGCGAAGGCAGCUUACUGGACCUGUAUUGACGCUGAGGCACGAAAGCGUGGGGAGCAAACAGG